rnacentral:lncRNA from 1 species
CCCCACAACAGAUUAUUAAUCGCAUCUCUCUACUUCUCACUUCAUGUCUCACUUUCUCUAGACAAUACUUUCUCGUUCAUUUUUAUCGUUCUUUCAUCACUACCAUAGAUUCGCGUUGUUCAUAUGUGUGGGGGUGAUGUCAAAUUGCAAGGAUGAGUUAUUUUGUUAGGAUGGAGGGACCUGGAACUUUGAUUAUGUGGAAUGAGAGAAGGGGAGGCUGCAUGAUGGGGAAGGACGUUAAGAGAGAGACUGAUGUAUUGUAGUGGAGAGACAGAGAAACUUACAUGUAUUCAUUGUUGUUGCUAUGCAUCAAAUUGGUAAUGCCAGUUGUAUGGUGGGACCGGCCACUAACAUUGCCAAUUUCAGAAAAGUAAUGGCUACUCUCUUCAUCCAGCAACAGUGCUUAUUGAGAAUGAUGCACAAGAUGGGGAAGUUUUAAUUAUAUCCAUGUAGUAAAUGAUGAUUUUCUACUUUAUAUGCAUGCAACCUUUCUGACUGAAAAAGAGAUGGCAUGACACUAAUUCAUGAAGAAAAAAAAUUAAAGAGGUUAGGGUUCUUAACGCUUUAACUGCUGUUAGAAUUCAUCGACCACUGCUGACGACCUUUUUUAUGUCAAAAUUUUCUUGUCUUGUGCAGAUGAAAUUGCAAGUGCAGCUGUUCUUUGAAGAUGGAGAGGCUUCUCGCUCUAUAACGAAGGGGGAUAACCGUGAAACAAUGAUGUAAAAUUGACUAUUUUACUAACUGCAGUAUCUCUGUUGCUGUUCAGUGACUUUGUCUCGUUAAAUAUUUUGGAUUGAAUCAAAAUGUUAAUGGUACUAAAAAUUCUUUAAUGUAAAGGCUCA